GCACGCUGCUGGCGCGCGUGACUUUAGUAUAGUCGGGUUGUUGUCGGUAUCGGAUGUUGCCCCGCGUACGUAUGCAUCUCUUGCACGUUGUCAUUUUAAUUCGGAAACAAGUGUUUGCGUUUACUAGUGAUAUACGGGUGUUGUGUUCUGUUAAGUGUUAAUCCCGAGUGUAAUAUUUCGGAGUCUUUGGAUAUCAGAUCAGAGCUUUCCGCUUUGAUAUGUACUGCGCCGUAUUUGCCGUGCCAUGAAGUCUGAUGAGUUCUGCAUAGCACUCGUUGUGCCUGGCAGUCCGAUAAUCUGUACACUGGUAAGUUCAUAAUUCAAUUAUAUUUUUUGGUCCAAUUUACAUUUGCUGUUUAUAAACAACGAACUACCUACCUGCAGGGCCGAUGAGACUGGGAUAAAUUCCCCGGGGCCCGGCUGAUCGCUCUUAAAUCGCAAUCACAAAAAAAUAGCAAAAAUUGACGAUUGCCGGAGCCCGCGGCUUUUCCCUGGGGCCCGCGCUGGUUCUCGACGGCCAUGUCUGUAUUUCCCUGUAUUGAAAUUUAUUGCAAGAAAAUUCCGUAACGCGAGUUAUAUUGAAAGUUGUGUGUGUGCGCCGUAGUAGGUACUCGUUGCUCUCGUAAUUAUAGUUUUUUUAGAGUAACACGCGAACGCGGUGCUACAGUUAGUUCGGAAUAAUUUUCCCAGAUGCAGAAUUAAAUUCUGAAUAAUUUUCCCAGAUGCGUAUUUGUGACUCGUGUUUAGCGCACCUUACGAAGGUAGCGGUAGAAGUGACUCGUGUUCAGGGCACCGUACGAAGGUAGCGGUAGAAGUGACUCGUGUUCAGGGUACCGUACGAAGGUAGCAGUAGAAGUGACUCGUGUUCAGGGCACCGUACGAAGUUAUACUUAUUUUGCCUAUUUUAAUAUUUUAUUUUAUAAGGAAUAUUUAAAUUAGUCGCGGUGUUGUAAACAUCAAUUAUUGAAUUAACUAAGGUAUACAGUAAACUUAUACGAAGACAAUUGAAAACAAUAAAUUAUUUAUUUGUAUUGGUAAAUUACAAAUUCCUGUUUAUCUUCAUCCUUAUUGCAUCUCAAAACCAAUAUAUUCUAUUCUUAUGCCUAGAAAUAUUGAAAGUAAAAGUAGAUUUCGUGUAUGUGUGUUAUUUCAAUAUUGUGAAUUUUUACUUUCGUCUUCUCGACUAUGUGUUUACCACUACGUUUGUGUAUAAACAACUUUUUUUGUUCAACUGACGCUACGUACGCUAUCGCUUAUCGCUACGUACCUGCCUUGUACCUGGUUUCGCACACCGCACACGGCAGUAGUUUCACCGCGUGGUCCGCGAACGCGUGUCUCUAACCGCCACGCGUUUUCAGACUUCAAUUAUUCAAUUAAUCGUCGUGCAUUCUUUUCGUUAUCAGCAAAAUAUUCGUAACGAGCAUGUGUGCUUGUUUUGUUUGUUUGUUUGUUAUGGCGGUUAGAGUGUUCUUAAGUGAGAAAUAAGUGUCCGAUAAUCUCUGCGCGAGUUUUCAGUUGAUAAGAUAUAUGCCUGGAUCUAAAAUUUCUUUAUCAAUGCACUGGUAGGUGUUUAAUCACUUUUUUUCGCGGAAAGUUAAGACGGUUUAACUUAAAUUGAUUAUUCCAUUUGAGGGAUAUUAAUUUUGCAGAUUACAAACACAUGGUAACAUUUUUGUCAGAAUUCUUAGUCCUGUUUCCGAAAAUAAUUAUUAUUACAAACACUGGGUUAAAAAAUAUCUGAGGAUUAUUAAAAUGACAAUAUUCAUGUGGCCGACCACGCUCACUUUGCCGUCGACCGUCGGCUCGUUCCUCUUUUCGCUGAACGUUUUUAAUCGAAUUUCACUCCUUAUCAUCAUUAAAUUAAAAAGUUUCAUGUUGAUCUAAUAAAAUCUUAUACGAAGAAUAGUUUUUCGUUAUUUUUAUCGUAUUUACCUAAAAAAUCUUUGAAAUAAAAAAUCUUUAAAAUCGUAAAAUCUUUGAAUUUGUGUUAAAAUAUAGUUGUUUCGGUAUAAAUUUCUCUUGUCACGAUGUGAAUGUAGAUCAUAUUUGUAGUUUUUAAAACCUUCCUUUUGUAACACCCUGAAUAUUUGUUUUCCUAACAGUACUUUAGUAAAUCGUCUUUAUUUCUGAGUUUUGAGUGUUCUUUGUUUUAAACUUAGAAUUUUCCUUUUGGUACACCCUGUAUAUUUGCUUUUCUUUGUGUCCGUGAAAACUUUAAGUUUUUUUGUAACACCCUGUUUAUUAAUUUCCCGGAGCAUCGGGUGAAAACAAGCAAUAUUUGUAGUGUUUAGAUGUUUUCCUCUUUGAUGGUUGAAUUUUCUAUUUGUGACACCUUGUAUAAUCGUUUUCCUUCACAUCCCUGAAAAUUUUGCUUUGAGUGUUAUUAGAAUUUAACUUCUUGCACUUUGAAUUUUCUUUUUGUAACGCCCUGUAUAUUUGUUUCCCAGGGUAACCGUGGAAAACUAGCGAUAUUUGAAUGUUUAGAUGUUUUCCUGUCUGUACUUAAUUUUCUGUAACCCCCCGGUAUAUUUGUUUCCAUUUUCAAUCACGAUGAAAAUUGACUUUGCUAAUUGCUUUAUCCUGCUAGAACUUCACUUAGUGAUACGCGAUUGUUUGCGCGGCUAAGCAGGUCGUAAUUCCAAUUUCAAUAUGGCGGCAUGAAUUCUGUUGACUUGUAUUAUUUUACAUUGUAUUUAUUAAUAAAGAAAUGUUAAGAAA